AGAGAGAAAGAAGCCCACACCAAGGGUUGUCCCAGGCUCCCGGUGUGUUUGCUACUGCCUGCUGCACAGAGUUCCGACAGGGUCCUCCCUUAACAAGCAAAGAGGAAAAUCAUCUCUGUUGCGAUGCCAGUGUGACUCGGCAAAGUUGCAUCUAGCGUGCGCGUCUGUCCUGGCUGAGGGGGGCUGAGAGAGGCUUUGCUGCCCUUUUCCCCCUUGAAUACGAGUUUCUCGUGACUUUCCACCACCCUGAACUCACAAUGAUCCGUCAAGGACCUUCUCCUAUUUCCCUCCCAGCACCAUCCUAAUUUCCUCCCUUCAGUGGCUUCUCUCCUCUUCAUGAUCACUUUAUCCCUUCCUGGACCAGAGGAAAUAACGAGAGACAGUGCCUCCUCCGCUGAAAAUCCACAGCCAGGCAUGGACCCCUCCUCACCACCUCCUACUAUGGUACUUAAAGACCUCACCAUGAAAAACUGGAUUGCAUAAAGGACUGCUCCUGGACAGAGACCCCUGGCUUGUUAUAUUUGCACAACUGGACAGUUUUCAUGGCAUAGAUUGGAUGGACUCUGUCAGUGACAGGAGGCAAUGUCCCUCCUGAAGGAGGGAAGGGAGUCUCUUCACUAGCAAAUACUCCAGCCAUUGGGGAAAAAAAAAAAGAUCCUGUGAUUCCAACCAUGGAACUGCUACUCAAAACAACUGCAAGAAAGAGGAAGUAGAGACCACGCGAGGUAUUUCCGUGUAAGACUGUUCCACCUUGAGAAAAGAAGCAAAAUGUGGAAAUGGGUCCUUCGCUGGAGAAUGGAUUAAAGAGUCUUUGGUCUCCUUCUGAAUUGUGCUACUUAAUUUAUCAUCACCACCAUCAUCAUCAUCUUUGUUGUCAUCAUCUCCAUCACCCGUGCUUCCUACAUGCCAGAAGUGUUGUGUUCCCUGGUUGAUCUCAUUUAAUUCUUCUGACAGCAAUAUGAGAAUCACCAUGGAAACCACAGCCACAAAUCCUGACAGCUCAAAUAUCACAAGUAGUGCUGAUAAUUGAUGGCAUGAAUAUCUGACAAGGCCUUGGCAGCUAUGCAGAGCAUUGCAGUGAGAAGCUGCUGUCUUGGGGGAGCUUUACUGCUUUUGGAGAUUUAAUACUGAUCUUGAACUUGAGGUGUGUCUGCAUGAACUUCUAUGCACCAGAAACUUUCAUUUCAAUGCUGAAAUGUGGGGUAAGAUUUUGGUGAAAUUUUAAACAAAUUUAGGGAACUACCUUAAGUAAAUUCAACCAGGUAUCACAUGCAGUCUUACUUUGGAAUUGUGAAAAAAAAAUAAUAAUAAGAGUGGAAAUAUGGAAAGAGAAUGCAAUAGCUACAACAGCAUAAACAUUGACUAUUAAGAAUCAAAAUAAUAUUCAUAAAAAAUAUUCAUUAAGUUAGGUGUCAACAUUUGUAAGAAAUGCACUGUUCCUGGCUUCGAGGUGGAAGAAGGCCGCCACAAGCUAAGGAAUGUGGGCCGCAUCUAGAAGCUGGAAAAGGCAAGAAAACAGUCUCCUCUAGAGCCUCUAGAAGGAAUACAGUCCUGGUGACACCUUGGUCUUGGCCCAGUGAGACCCAUAUCAGAUUUCUAACCUACAGAACUAUAAGAUAGUACAUUUAUGUUUUCUUAAGCCACUAGGUGUGUAAUCAUUUGUUACAACAGCCACAGGAAAGGAAUGCAUGUAUGGUUCUCUACAUUUUUGGUCUCUGCAGAGACAGGGUGGAUGGGGCCAGGAGACUAGCUCUGGCACUUAGAAUGGGGGAUGGGUGUGAUUUGCCCCCUACCUGGGCAAUGUGCCAUGACCUCUCUCUCUGGUGGUUGGACAGCUGAAUGCAGAGGGUCAGUAGAGGGUCAAGGAGGCUCUAGUGGAUGGCAGAGUCGCUGUUUGCAAGGAGCCUUGAAUCUGAAGUCACCACUUGAAAGAGUGUUGCCUCUGGGAGCUGCCCCAACCAAAUGCAUGAGUCUUAAUCCCCUGAGUUCCCAGAGUUCAUUUUUCCCUGCAGCAGAGCUGCUUCUAGUCUAACUCCAGAAUCUCCAAAUCAGAUUAUUUUUUCUUUUUAAAAAAUUUUUAAAGAGUUUUUUUUCUUUUUUUUUUUUUAAGGGAUCAAACUUCUACAUGGGCAAAGUCAGAACUUUGUUGGGCUUCCUUAGCCUUAGUUUGUAAUUCAGUCUUUUUAAAAUUUCACGUAGCACAUGGAGAGCAUUGUAAUCAAAUUUCUAUACUUAGGGCUUGUGACGGUCUUAAACCAGUGCUACUUUCUUGGCCACGGAGGCACCCACAGCCUCACAGUGCAGACAGACAGCUCAUUGGUCUCUUACAGGCUCUUCUGGCCUUUUCCUAAAUAUGCUCUCCAGUGCCAUAAAUUUCUACUUUUGUCCAGAGAUUCCUUUUUCUUGGAAUAUGUACCCCACCCCUUCCUUUAAGCUCAGCUCAAUUCCAUCUCCUUCAAGAUGCCUUUCUAGAUUCUCCAAGGAAUAUGAAUUUCCUUCCUCCAUGAUUCCCUGUGUUCUUUCGUAAUACUUAUUAAUGGAUCCCUGUCCUCUCUACCCAAGUACACACACAGGCACAUCCUAAAAUGUAGCUUCCAGAAGGCAAAUAUCAUCCCAGGCUCACUGUGGUCCUUCACCAUAAGAUAGUGCUCUAGGGCAGUAAAUGCUCUGUGCAUUUGCAAAUUUUAGUAAAACCUCUGCGGCUGGUGGAAGAGUUUUGUUUUGUUUGUUUAAGCAGACAGGAUCACGUGGUGCCUUUUAUAUUAUCAUAUAGGACUGGUCCAUUUAUAUAGAGCAAGGGUCCCCCAAGAUUCCUUGUUCAUCAAAAUCUGAAUGACUAAACCAGGCACUGUGCUAAAGGGCCGGAGCACCACGUACCCUGUGGAACUAUCAAAUGUCACCCACUAGGACAGCUGCAAACCACAUAUAGAGUGUACCUACUACGUACCAGACUUUGGGCAGGUGAUCGACAUCAGCCUGAGCCUCUGGCCAGUCCUUCACUUUCUAGGACUUCUUCCCUUUCAGGGAAAUUUGGCCUCCCAGCAUCUGGGGAACAAGCUGCUUAUUUGCUAAUAUCUGUUUGCACAUCAGGGUUUUUUACUUUUAGGAACAGUUUGUCUCUCUGGCAGAUCUCCGUGUUCCCAUACCGUUGUUUAUGAUGUAACUAAGCAUCUAUCGUAUAGAAUUGAACUCAAUUCUCUUUUGAAACUGCAAGAGAUCUAACCCGCUCAUUUUCUUUCCAUUUAACAUACGAGAGGGGUGUGUAGGAGCAGUUUAUUAAGGGGGAGCUGUUUAUUGAGGGAUCCUGGGGCUAAUCCCAGCCCAUUAUUUCUCCAUUUCCUUACAGCUCACUGAGAAGGGUGGGAGAGAACAGGAACGGGGAGACUAUUCUUUCCUGAGUGAUUGUUUGGCCAGUCCACAGGGAUCCUGACUUUCCUACACCCAUCAGGGAAGUAGCAUCCAGAGGGUCAUUCCAGGGACAGGGCUGGCUGUGUCAGGCUGUAAUGAAUGGUUCAGACUGAGAAGUGGAACUUGGCCAACAACAGGGAAAGACAAUAAUCAUUGGAAAAUUUAGGCAUUGAGAAUAAGAUCCAUGUCUGUCUUAUGUCCCCUGGGUACCAACACAAUGACUUGGCUUAGUAACUGCCCCAUAAUGUUUAAAUUAUGUUCAGUGAAUGAGUGAAUGAAUGGAUGCCGUAUUCUUGCUUCCUUCUCCAAACACUCUUUAUAAAAUUACGGCAUCUCAUUCAUGUCUCCUCUAUAAAUCGGGAAUUUGGUGAGGCAUGCUGUUUAUUGCUUAGGAAUCAUUUUACUUAAUCACAAAGGUCCCAGGGGUUCAGGCGGGGAAAAAAAAAAAAAAGCAGGUUUGGGAGAAAGAGUAGGAUAGGAUCUUCCUAGAGAUUUUUCUUUCCUUUUUCUUUAAUGGGCGCACCCAUGGAAGAUGGAAAUUCCCAGGCCAGGUAUUGAAGCCCAGCCUCAGCUGUGGCCAGAUCCUUUAACCCACUGCACCAGGCUGGGGAUUGAACCUGCACCUCGACAGUGACCCAAGCUGCUGCAGUGGGAUUCUUAACCCAAGGUGCCACAGCACAGUGAGGCUAGAGCCCCACUUCAACUCCUAUAGAGUUGAAAGCUCUAUAGGAGUUUCUGUUAUGGCUCAGUGGUAACAAACCCUACUAGUAUCCAUGAGGACGCUGGGUUUGAUAAGCGGGUUAAGGCUCUGGUGUUGCCGUGAGCUGUGGUGUAGGUCACAGACACGGUUCAGACCUGCUGUUGCUAUGGCUGUGGUGUAGGCUGGCAGCUACAGCUCCAAUUCGACCUCCAACCUGGGAACUUUCAUAUGCUGCAGGUUUGGCCCCCAAAAAGACCAAAAAAAAAAAAAAA
rnacentral:lncRNA from 1 species